CUUGUCCACAGACGGGAACAGUUCUCUUCAUGAAUGAAGGUCAGAGACAAGUGGGUGCUGCCAUGGUGGACAACACAGUGUCAUCUAGAAUGGCUGAACCCCAACCCCCAGCACAUCAGCACCACAGAUGCCUUUGCCAUCUCUUAGAUGCCCUGAUGAAGCCAACAACUGUGAGUACUAUUCAUUGCUCAGGAUAUCAGGAGGAAAGAGAUUCAGUGACAUGGGACAGUAACAAAGCAGAUAAAGUGGCUCAGGAAAUGGCUAUGCAGGAGCCUAUCCUGGUUAUAGGCCUACAAGAGACAGCCACUGGGAACUGAGAUUAGACUAAGGGAUGACCUCACUUAGAAUGUACAACAGAAAAAAAGGCCCAAGUUGUUUAAAAGAUAAAAGGACAAUGACACACUUGGGGAGAAAGCUAUACCCCCCAGAGAACAAACAAAAGACUCACUUUGCCAAAUUAAAAAAUGGACUCAUUUAAGAGAUAAAAAAUUUGUCCAAAUAGUUAAGUAUAUAUAAUAGACUUUAAGAUUUUAGCCAGAGAGACAGUAAAAAAUAUAAGAUAUGUCAGUAAACAAAUGCUUAACAAACAAACAGGACAAAGAGACCUAGAGAGUUUAACGAAAAGUUGAAGUGAACUUCACUGAGAUAAAACCAGAAAAAUAUAAUCACAAGUAUCUCCUAGUGCUUGUAGAUACUUUUUCAGGAAUAGAUAGAAGCUUUCCUCACCAAACGAGAGACGGCCUCUACAAUCAUCAAGAAGAUACUGAAAGAAAUCUUCCCCAGGUCUGGAAUGCCCAAGGUAAUCUGGUCAGACAACGGUCCUACUUUCGUUGCCAAGGUAAGCCAGGGUGUGGCCAAGUAUUUAGAGGUCGAUUAGAAAUUACAUUGUAUUUACAGACCUCAAAGCUUAAGACAGGUAGAGUAAAUAAAUAGAACUCUAAAAGAGACCCUAACCAAAUUGACCAUAGAGACUGGCACAGACUGGGUGACACUCCUUCCCUCUUGCUCUCUUCAGAGCAAGAAAUACCCCUUCCAGAUUCAGCCUUACCCCCUUUGAGAUCUUAUAUGGGGCCUCAGCUCCCCUGACUGUAUUAGAUGAUGUUACUGAACCAACUUGUCAUAGUGCCAUAGUAAUAAUGAUUUGUGUGCCAGGCUAAAAGACCUACAGGUGAUACAGAAAGAAAUCUGCUCACAGCUGACAGCAGCCUAUGCCCCGGAGACCCCUGAGACAUCCCAUCAGUUCCAGGUCGGAAGCAGCUACACUGAGCCCAGACACUCGAGCCUCGCUGGAAAAGACCGUACCUGGUGCUGCUGACCACCCUGACAGCCGUCAAUUCUCAGCCCUCACCAGCCGUAUACUAGCUGUUAGGGCUGAGAGCUGGGACCUAGAGGGAAAUUCAGUCAUGUUUGUCCUGGGUUCCAUCGAGAUAGGUGUGGAGAUAGGCUUAAUUUCUAUUACAAAUGAUGUAACAUUACAUAUGUUAAUACUCCUAACACUUCUUGGGACUGUGCCUCAGGGAUCACUACCUAUAUAAGUUUAGAAGUUCUGAAAGACAGUCAUGACCUUGGUGUAUAGGUUUAGAUAGUGUCCAGAUAGAAUCCUGAUGCCAAAGACUUUUUAGCUGACCUCCAAGAAUACCUAACCUCCCUCUCAGAGGUAGUCCUUCAAAAUAAGAAAAGAUUAGACCUGAUAUUCCUUAAAGAAGGAGUCUGUGUGCUAUACUGAAAGAAGAAUGUUGCUUCUAUACAGACCAUUCAAGAGUAAUUAAGGACUCCAUAAAUAAACUUAAAAAAGGGUUAGACAAAGACAGACAGAAAAACACAUAAGAGAUGGUUUGAGAGCUAGUUUAGUAGAUCUCCCUGGAUGACUACUCUACACUCUGCUACAGCUGGGCCAUUAUUAAUAAUUUUCUUGGUUUUAGUUUUUGACUCCUGCGUGACAAACAGGUUAAUUGCUUUUGUUAAAAAUUGAGUGGGUGCUGUGCGGUUGAUGGUUGUGAGACAACAGUACCAGUCAGUUAAGACAA
rnacentral:lncRNA from 1 species